AUGUCGAGCCACGAGGCGUGCUGCGGGACCAUGUUCUGGGUGUACCUGCUGUCCUGCGCGGGGCUGGUGAUGUUCGCGGGGCUCAUGUCGGGGCUCACCCUGGGCCUCAUGUCGCUCAGCCUCGUGGACCUGGAGGUGCUGGCCAAGGCCGGCACCCCGCAGGACCGGCGCAACGCCGCCAGGAUCCUGCCCGUCGUCAAGAACCAGCACCUCCUCCUCUGCACGCUCCUCAUCGGCAACUCCCUCGCCAUGGAGGCGCUCCCCAUCUUCCUCGACUCCCUCGUGCCCUCCUUCGGGGCCAUCCUCAUCUCCGUCACCCUCAUCCUCGCCUUCGGUGAGAUCAUGCCGCAGGCCAUCUGCACGCGCUACGGGCUGAGCAUGGGGGCCAAGGCGGCGCCCAUCGUCCGGGUGCUCCUCGUCGUCUUCUUCCCGGUCGCCUACCCCAUCAGCAAGCUUUUGGAUUGGUUACUGGGAAAGGGUCAUGUUGCACUUAUGAGGAGAGCUGAGCUGAAAACAUUAGUUGAUAUGCACGGCGAUGCGGCCGGGAAAGGUGGAGAGCUGACCCAUGAUGAAACUACUAUCAUUGCAGGAGCAUUAGAGAUGACUCAAAAGAGUGCAAAAGAUGCCAUGACUCCCAUAUCUGAAACCUUCUCACUUGACAUAAAUGCCAAGCUGGAUGUGCAUACGGUGGGUAUGAUAAUGACCAAAGGGCACAGCCGUAUUCCUAUAUACUCUGGAAGACCAAGCAAUAUCAUCGGUCUUAUAUUGGUAAAAAACUUGCUUACUUGCCGACCUGAGGAUGAGGUGCCCACUAGACAUGUUACUAUCAGAAAAAUUCCAAGGGUGGCUGAUGAUCUUCCUCUCUAUGACAUUCUAAAUGAGUUUCAGAAAGGUCACAGCCACAUGGCUGUGGUUGUUAAACGCACUAAAGAAGACGGAGCAUCUGCCGAAAAGAAUAACAGUUUUACACCAGAUUACAAAAUGACCAACGGGCAUGCUCAUGCUGAUGGUCUGGGUCUGUCACCCUCGCAUGUCAACAUUUCCGGAAGUCGUCGAAAUAACAAUGACAAGUACAGUAAGAAAAUUGAAAGAAAACGGGACAACAUUCUUGAUUUCAACACCGAUCCACUUCCUCACUAUUCAAUGGAUGAGGAAGCGGUGGGAAUAAUUACGAUGGAAGAUGUCAUGGAGCAACUGCUGCAGGAAGAUAUCUUGGAUGAAACAGAUGAGUAUGUUGAUGUGCAUAACAAGAUCAAAAUAAACAUGUUACCGCCAGGCAAAUCAUUGUCGCCUCUUAUAUCUCCUAGUGGUGGACCUCUGUCUCAAGGACUAAGAAAGACCCCUAUGGCUUCUCCAUUGUCGCCGUACCAUAAUGGCGGCUCCAUCUUACGUUCCCCUGUUACAAACCAUGCUCGAUCACCUGGGACUUUACCGACGAUGUUUUCUCCUGGAAGGUCACCGGCAUCUCAAACUCCCGUGCGCGGUUCGCCGACUUCAAGUCUCGAGGAAUUCGUACCGAAAUCCAUAGAAAUGGUGGUGAGAGCUGAUGCCAAAGAGCUCAGGGGGCAACAAUCCCAGUUGAGGUCACUCCCAAGAUCAAAUUGA
rnacentral:rRNA from 1 species